AUCUUAGUAGUGCAAUCGGUAGCACAUCGACUGGGACAUUUGUGCGAUUCGGGUUCAAAUCCCGCCUGAGGUU
rfam:Dictyocaulus viviparus strain HannoverDv2000 D_viviparus-1.0_Cont31.32, whole genome shotgun sequence.